rnacentral:piRNA from 1 species
UCCAAGAUGAAAGUAGACUUGUCCUUUGGG